CAAGCGUCUGGGGUAAGGAGUCGCGUUGCCAUCAGUCCCACUGAUGAGUCUUAGACCGAGACGAAACGCAAU
rnacentral:hammerhead_ribozyme from 17 species